rnacentral:lncRNA from 1 species
UUGACUUUGACUGAGGACUUUGAUUUUGACCAAGGGUUGACCGUUGACUUUUAGGGUUUGGUCAGCGAUGUGGCCUUUGGGCCAAGAGAGGGGUAAAAUAGUCUUUUACCCUUAAGAGGGUGCAUUGAGAGGAUUGAUUCUAGUCUCGAGAGUUAUAGUCAUGAGAGUUUUGCCUUACGUGUUAGGCGGUGGCGAGUUCGAGAUCCGAGUAUGGAGAUAUCUGCUUUUUGCUUGCCAGGUGAGUCUUCUCACUAUACUUUACCUUGAGUAGGUAACCAGAGUUAUGUGACAGAGUAUUUGUAUGCUAUGUAUGUUAUGUGUUGUACUGCAUUAUUUCUAUGUGAUUUAUGCUGUGCAUGGUUGCAGAGUUGGAACCGAAGGGUUCCUAGAGUUAGAACCGGAAGGUUCAUAGAGUUAGAACCUGAGGGUUCACAGAGUUUGGGUGCACGGACCCAUAGAGUUAUAGCCUCGAGUGGCUUAUAUGUGUUAUGUGUGUGGUAUUUUGGGGAACUCACUAAGCUUCGUGCUUACAGUGUUUUGUGUUUUGUUGUUUUCAGGUUUCUUUCAGUAUCACGGUACGGCACCGGCUUGAUUGUACACACCAGAGCAAGAGUCAUAUUUUGGAGGAUCCUGGUUUUCUAUGCAAGUGAAAAUGGAGCUAUGUUUUGUAAUUUGAUUAUGAAUGAGAUUUUUAACAAGUGUUCUAAGAAUAAAAUGAUUAUUUAAAAUGAAAGAAUUGUUUUGAAAUUUACGGUGUUACAAGUUGGUAUCAGAGCCUUGGUUUGAGGGAUUCGGAUGCGCCUUUGGGUAAAUCUGGACUCAAACUGAGGAAGUAAGAAAAAAAAAAUUUCAAAGAAAUAAUUUUCUAAAAAGUGAAUAAGAGUUCAAAAAGAAAGCAAGAAAGAGCAGUGUGUACAAUCAGCCAGAGCCCGAACGGUGAUUUCCCAAAAUACCCUUAUUUUUGUGUUAUGAGAUAUUUAUGAUGCACUUUAUGAGAUAUUAUUGCAUGCUAGAGGCAGGCUAGGUAUUUCACAUCUUAGGACUAGAGUAGCCUGAUCUGUGAUGCCUUAGCCUAGGACUUGUUGUUAUAUGUGUUAUGCUUUUGAGUAUGUGAUGAGUGAGAGUACCCAGUUAGAACCCAUGAGGGGUAGAGUUGCAGAGUUCAGUGGUACUUCCGAGGAUGAGCCGAGAAAGUGGAGUUAUCACAGAGAGGGAGACCUAUGUAUUCUUCGAUGCUCGAAUGUUGCUUGCUUUGUGCUUUGUGGAACUCUCGAUGAUGGGAGUCAGCUACCAAGUGAAUAUGACGAUAUUCAGGAGGUAGAUGGCUGGCAUCACAGGGAGCUCUUCAGCAGCUGAUAGCAAAGAAGUGGGAGGACAACGGAAGAGCCUAGGGAGUAACCCUAGCCAGAUGAGUGCGCGGGUAGAGUAGAGAAUUUCGCUGGGGAGCGAGCACGCGCGAUGGGAUUGGUGACAAAUCAGGUCGAGCAGCUACUUAGGAGCUCUGGGAUGGUCCGUGUGGAAAGUAUGGGUAGAUGUGGCAGGUAGUAUGGGCCCGUACUACUGAAAGCAGAGGACCCAUACAUGAAACAGGGAGUAUUCUGAAGGUCCUAAGAAGCGGAUUGAGGAGUGAUGUUAUGGUUCGAGUACCAUACAUCGGAGCGGAUUGAGGAGUGAUGUUAUGGUUCGAGUACCAUACAUCGGAGCGGAUUGAAGAGUGAUGUUAUGGUUCGAGUACCAUACAUCGGAGCGGAUUGAAGAGUGAUGUUAUGGUUCGAGUACCAUACAUCGGAGCGGAUUGAGGAGAGAUGUUAUGGUUCGAGUACCAUACAUCGGAGCAGAUUGAGGAGUGAUGUUAUGGUUCGAGUACCAUACAUCGAAGCGGAUUGAGGAGUGGUGUUAUGGUUCGAGUACCAUACGCCGGAGCAUAUUGAGAAGAGAUGUCAUGGAAUGAAUACCAUGGUUCAUAAGGAAAGAUGUUUGUGGUUCCCCGGCUAUCCGGUUAUGAUUGAGUUCGGAGAGGCGUCCCUUGAGAGGAAGAUCGAGAGCCUCUCAGAGUAUUUUAGUAAGGAGUCAGUGAGAAGGAAGAAUUUCAAUCUGAGUUGAGCGAUCAGUCGAUAAAGGAGAUGUCACCUUCUAUGAUCUGGGUGGUUCUGAUUAUGUUCGUGUGCAAAUAUGAGAAGCAUGAUGUUGAGUUUUGGGUUGGGGGUAAACCCUGCAGGUCGUCAUUGAUGAUGAUUUUUCCCCCAGUGUAUUAGGUAGCAUGUGUGCCGCGAGGCGGUGACUUAUCAUGAGCAGAUAGUCAGUUGGGACUGAGGUAGUCGAGGACCACACUACACCUAUUUGAGUAUAGUAGGAUGUAUUAUAGUGGUAUCAGUGGGGAGUUCAGUCGAGUUUAGCAGUGCAGAGAGUUUUCUAUCUAUGUUGGGUGUUGAAUAUGGGAGUGGGUCCCUGUUCUUGGGAUGAUCCCGGUGUUGGAGCGAUGUUUGAUGAGUUGAGGUGAGGGGUACGAUGAUUUUGCGGUUCAGUCUAUGAGCCAGAGAUGUUAUUGAGCAGUUGAGAUGCUUAGUGCUAGAUUGGUAUGAGAUUUGGAACGACUAGAGGCAGUCGUGAUGAGAAGUUCUUGAGGAGUUCAUCAGAGGUUCACAGUAUAUGAGGUCGAUUGAUUUCCUUAAGAAGGAAUUAUCGGGCGUUGUGUAGCACUUUCCUGGGGCAGGUGCGAUUUCGCUGGUGAAAAAUAGUUGUGGGUUGGUUGCGUGCUAAUUGGUGAUGGUUCGAACCCUAAGUGGGGGAGAACCGGGUACAGUAUGUAAGAAAGCAGAGAUUUGUCAAGAGCAGUUAUAAGUGGAGUAUAGAGAUCUGCUGUAAGAAAUCAUGAGACCAGAGAUGUCGGUGAUCGAGGAAAGAGGUCAGAGUGAGUUAAUGCGGGAAGUACUUGUUGAGAAUGAUGAAUGUCUCCACGGCAGGUGUUUGGUGGUCAGUGUUGUUGCAAGUAGAUAGAGAAUGAUUGGGCAGCCAACUCCCGGGUCAGUAUGUGUAUCCUUGUUUGGAUUUUGAGCGGUAGAAAAUGGGUUCGGAGAAUUAUCAGCGUAUUUAGUAGCGUUAGCGUUUUCUUGUAUUCCAAUUGAGAAAUUGGAUACACCGAGGUUGCAAUUUGAAAAAAAAAAUGCAGAUCUAAUUAUGGGGUUCAGAGGAAAUGUAUUAUUGUGUCUAUAUGAUGCUUGGGGCAGGAGAUCAGUGGUUGUGGCAGGAUCUUGUGAUGUUCUGUUGGGGUAUUCCGAGAUAUCUGGGUAUGAUAUCUUUAUUUCGGAGUUACUCGUGAAUCUUGAAUUGAAUCGACUUGUGGUAUAUCAGGUAUCUAUGGAUCUAGUGGGAGCCCUUCGAGUAUGGGCAUCCAGGGAGAUUAUUUGAGAGAGUGGAUUUUCGCAAGGGUGGGCAUUUGUUAUGUUGAUUGCCUCCAGAGUCUGUGAUGGAUAUUCGAGUCGAGUAUGGGUAGCCGUUGAUGAUAGUCUUCGGAGCACGAGCUAGUGGAGUCAGAGGGUGUUGUGAUACUGCGGGGAGCCGUAGUACUCACUAGUCAGAGGGUGUUGUGAUACUGCGGGGAGCCGUAGUACUCACUAGUCAGAGGGUGUUGUGAUACUGCGGGGAGCCGUAGUACUCACUAGUCAGAGGGUGUUGUGAUACUGCGGGGAGCCGUAGUACUCACUAUUCUGAGGGUGUUGUGAUACUGCGGGGGGGCCGCAGUACUCACUAGAUGGCAAGAGAAUGUGAUGAUGGAAUGUUUUCCGAACAAUGUAUGAUGUGGAAGAGUUUUGGGUUUGAGUAGCCCUAGUAUUGACUUUUUGGAGCCUGGAUGUUGAAUCGGGGGCGAGACUGGGGUCUCCGUCUCUGUCGGGAGAUGCGGUGAGAUGCGCAAGGGAUAUGCGCAGCAGAAACCAGAGAUCAGAGUUGAGACGAUCCUUGGUUGGACCGUAUUUUCUCGCAUGAGGAAAAGAGGAUUUCGUGACUUGCGUGUCACUGGGCAGUGAUAGUGGUCACGGGGAAAAGGUUAGUGAGAUGUUUGGAUCAUGUUAUGGGAGACCUUUGGAGGCUCAGCUGUGGAGUCAAAAGCUGACUUGGUGCUCAGUCUCGAAGAGGGAUAUGAGAAAUGAGCUAGAGCUUAUCAGGAGGUUGUCUGAGGACACUUCAGAGCGAGUGAGCGAUUCAGACGCUCGAAGUCAUGCUUCGGGCAUGUGUAUUAGAUUUCGGAGGAAGCUGCGGCACGUAAUUAUCCUUGGUCGAGUUGUCCUAUAUUAACAGCCAUCAUUAGUGCAUUGGUAUGCCGCCCUUUGAGCUGUUGUAUAGGAGGAGGUGUCGGACCCUCAUUUGCUGAGGAGAGGUAACGCAUGGACCCGAGAGUCCUUGCGAGCAGAUCCAGAGCAUGUGCGAUACAUGGAGUAGUGGCAAGGUUGUCAAGUGGAUUUCCCUAGGUAAGGGCAGAGAAAGGUAUGUAACCCCGGGGGGGAAGUGUUGGUUCACGGAAGUGAAGGUAGUAGUGCGAAUGGAUGAUUUAGAGUAUGAGGGUUGAAUGCGGUGUCUGUUACAGUGGUAUGGAAUGACAUCAUGAUGGGAUGUCUGUUGAGGACGCGGGAGGGAUUCCGCAGGUGUAGAGCCAGGAGGCUCGGAAGGGAUCCAGGGAGAGAAUCCUGGACUCUCAGUGUGAUUCUGAUCAGGGUAUUGGGUAUGUAUCAGUGGUUCAUCCUGGGGGGAUGUUUGAGGAUAUCAUCAGUGUAUCGAGUUUUCCAACCUGAGGGUGUUGGAGCUAGUUCAGCAUGUGUAUGUGAUUGCAAGAGGAGAACUCGUGAGAGUUGCUCUGAGAGUGAGAAUGGGUCUCUCAGUCGUUCCGGAAUGGAUAAAGUGGGAUUCGGAUCGGGGAUCCGAUGGUUCAUGGCUUUCUAGCCCUUAUGGGUCGAUCGGUUGUUGAUAUUUGGAGCAGUGAUACAUCUCGGGUAAUUCUCGAUUGUUGAGUGUGAUUAUCAGAGGGUACAGCCGGUGCCUGGUUUGAGACGGUGGUCAGGACACCGCAAGGAAAGAGGAAGUGAGUUCGAGUUCGAUGGUUAUGCUUUGAUGAACCUGGUCCAGUUAGGGCCAGGUGGCGCGCCGUGGGAGUAUUUUGGAGUUGAGUUGCCAUAGGCUUCGAGGACGAAGCAUAAUUUAAGUGGGGGAGAAUUGUAACAUCCCGAAAUAUCAAGAGUAGAGUUGAAGGGCUAAAAGAGUAAGUUGUGAAAGAGUGACUCGGCGAGUCCAUGGAUGGACUCGGCGAGUAGAGUCGCGACUGGGUCGCGUGCUAAGUAGCCGACUCGGCGAGUCAGUGAGGAGGACUCGACGAGUAGGCGCUGAUUGGAGAAAACCCUAAUUCUCGGGGUUGAGCCCUAUAUAAAGAACAUUAUGUUUUCCUCCCAGCCUCCUUAUCACCCCUUGAGCCCCAGAAAACCCUAAAUCGCGGAGAAGCACCAUUGUUGAGUGGAUUGGAGCUUGGAGAAGUAAUUGUUGAAGGAAUUUUGGGAGAUUGAAGGCUUGGAGCAAGGGGCUUUGCUUGGAUUCGAAUUACAUUGCAGUUGGGGCAUCUCUUGGAGGUAAUAUCUCGUUCUUGGGCUGUUAUUAUGUGUUUCUUCAUUUUGGGGUUUGUGGGAACUUGUCUAUGGAUGUAAUGGGAAGUCUAGAGGUUAGAUCUGAGGUUGCUACCUCAGAUCUAGAAGGGAGAAGAAUCAGAGAGCAUGAAAGUCCCUGUGUUGGAGUGUUUAGUGAAGCUUUCAUGUCCCAAACCCUAGCCCAAUGUGCAAAUGGCCUAGAUCUCUUUGGAUUCACGUAAAGUUUGCCACUUUACGUGAUGGAUGAGUGGUAGGAGGCUAGAUCUAUGUUUUGGAGCAAUUGCAUGGCCUGGAAUGCUUCCGAAUGGAUUCAGACCGGUGGUACUCGGCGAGUCACAUGGGUGUACUCGACGAGUUGGAUGAAGAUGGCCUGGAACUCGGCGAGUUGUAUGAACAACUCGACGAGUAGGUUGAUGAUAGUCUUGGACUCGGCGAGUCUGUUCUUGGACUCGACGAGUCUUGUCGAAGAGUCCCGAUAUUCCCUGGUUGAGUCGAGAAUCGGUGAGUCAAGGGAUGACUCGGUGAGUUGUGUGCGAGUGGACUCAGAGUUGUUGGACUCGGCGAGUCUCGGAGUGACUCGGCGAGUUAGGUCGCGGAUUGAGUGAAGUUCUGAUUAUAGAAACUCGGCGAGUCAUAGAGUUGACUCGGCGAGUAGGGUCAGUCAGGGGUUGACUUUGACUGAGGACUUUGAUUUUGACCAAGGGUUGACCGUUGACUUUUAGGGUUUGGUCAGCGAUGUGGCCUUUGGGCCAAGAGAGGGGUAAAAUAGUCUUUUACCCUUAAGAGGGUGCAUUGAGAGGAUUGAUUCUAGUCUCGAGAGUUAUAGUCAUGAGAGUUUUGCCUUACGUGUUAGGCGGUGGCGAGUUCGAGAUCCGAGUAUGGAGAUAUCUGCUUUUUGCUUGCCAGGUGAGUCUUCUCACUAUACUUUACCUUGAGUAGGUAACCAGAGUUAUGUGACAGAGUAUUUGUAUGCUAUGUAUGUUAUGUGUUGUACUGCAUUAUUUCUAUGUGAUUUAUGUUGUGCAUGGUUGCAGAGUUGGAACCGAAGGGUUCCUAGAGUUAGAACCGGAAGGUUCAUAGAGUUAGAACCUGAGGGUUCACAGAGUUUGGGUGCACGGACCCAUAGAGUUAUAGCCUCGAGUGGCUUGUAUGUGUUAUGUGUGUGGUAUUUUGGGGAACUCACUAAGCUUCGUGCUUACAGUGUUUGUGUUAUGUUGUUUUCAGGUUUCUUUCAGUAUCACGGUCCGGCACCGGCUUGAUUGUACACACCAGAGCAAGAGUCAUAUUUUGGAGGAUCCUGGUUUUCUAUGCAAGUGAAAAUGGAGCUAUGUUUUGUAAUUUGAUUAUGAAUGAGAUUUUUAACAAGUGUCCUAAGAAUAAAAUGAUUAUUUAAAUGAAAAUUUUGUCUUGAAAUUUACGGUGUUACAUGUAUGUUAGGUUAGGCACGUUGUAUGGUAUGUGGUAUUUUGGGGAACUUAGUAAGCUUCAUGCUUACGGUCCCGUUGUAUGGUAUGUGGUAUUUUGGGGAACUUAGUGAGCUUCAUGCUUACGGUUUGUGGUUUAAAAAU